rnacentral:rRNA from 1 species
UACGGAAGGCAGCAGUGGGGAAUAUUGGACAAUGGGCGAAAGCCUGAUCCAGCCAUGCCGCAUGAGUGAAGAAGGCCUUCGGGUUGUAAAGCUCUUUUAGUGAGAAAGAUAAUGACGGUACUCACAGAAGAAGUCCUGGCUAACUCCGUGCCAGCAGCCGCGGUAAUACGGAGGGUGCAAGCGUUAAUCGGAAUUACUGGGCGUAAAGCGCACGCAGGCGGUCUGUCAAGUCGGAUGUGAAAUCCCCCGGGCUUAACCUGGGAACUGCAUUCGAAACUGGCAGGCUAGAGUCUUGUAGAGGGGGUAGAAUUCCAGGUGUAGCGGUGAAAUGCGUAGAGAUCUGGAGGAAUACCGGUGGCGAAGGCGGCCCCUGGACAAAGCUGACGCUCAGGGUGCGAAAGCGUGGGGAGCAAACAGGGAUUAGAUACC